CUGCAUCCACUGAUAGACCGGAAGCAGACUACAUUGGCUUUUGGUUUGCAUGGAGAUGCUAUAUUGAAUAUUCCUUGUGCUUUCUGACUGUGACAUUAUAUGGCAGCCCAGAUUGAAUUUAGGAACACACCA